CUAGCUACAUUUAGUUAAAUACAACGUUGAUAGACACUUAUGUAGCCUACUUUUAUUUUUCAACUCAUAAUAACUAAAACUCGUGUGUUGGCUUUUGUGUAUGUUUUUACUCGGUUCCAUUUUAGCUCUUCACUUUAUGUUCCUAAUUCAUUUUAUUCUUUCUGUAUAAUUCCAUUCUGUUCUGUUGGUUCAGCGCCUCGACUGCCUUGUUGAUGUUCACACUAUACACGUUUGAGCUUUAAUCAUUUUAGUUUUGGCCAAAAGUAUCCCACAAAAAAGCACCCAGCAUCAGUUCUUGUGCUAAUAGAUGCUGGAUGUACUAAGAUGUUCUACUGCGGUUCUGUAAUGAGCUCUGUACUUGAAGGAAUGAAGUAUCACUCACAUAUUGACACAGUUUUCACUCCAAACGUAGUUCAAAUAUAGUCAACUGACCAAGAUAUGUUUGGUGUCCGAAGUACACUUCUUUAGCUUUGCACUGUAAUGUUGUGAGUCUGUCACCCAAAAUAUCAUUUGUAUUCUGAAACAGUAACAUCAGUAGUAGCUAUAGAUUGUUUACAAUAUGUUAAUGUAAGUGAAAAGCUCUGAUAGUAAGCAUAAUAAUGUGAUUUUUAUCCCACAGUUCCUCAACUUGUAGAUGGAUACAAAACAUUUCUUCAAUAGAUGCAGAAACUGUGCUGAAGGCCAGACAGACAAGAAGAGGGAGACAAAGAAGCUGAAGGAGACUGAUGGAACGGAAAGACCAGUACUGAUCAGCCUUGCCGGUGUAGUCUAUGCAGAGCACGCUUCGCCGACGCUCUCCAGGACCACAAGUCCGCGAGCAGGCUGACCAUGGCCCCAUCUGCCACACAGGGCAGGG